UGAUGAUGAACCUAUGGCACAGGCAUAGAGCAACUUUCUGUAUUCCUGAAUCGUGAGUUGCAUGACACCUACCUCUUCUUUAAAAAAAAGAGAGCGAGAGAGAGAGUCAGUGUAGCAUAUGGCUUCUCAGCUACUUUUGGAGACGCUUUUUUCUCUAAGGAAGAUAUUACAACUUUAACCGAGGAAUGAAUAACAGAAAUUUGGCAAGUAUUUCACUCAUGCUUGAAAAUCCAUUAUUAACGUGUGGAAGAACAUCUCAAAUAAACCACUAUCACCAGAGUUUUCAAGUUGUCACACCAACAGAUGGUACAGAAUUCACAUAUUCAGGCGUGGGUCAUUGAAUGAUGACAUUUCAAACUGUAUACAAGCAUGUGUGUAUCCAUUCAAAUCUCAUGUGAAAACAAGUCAAAGUCAUCUUUCUAUUAAUGAGGCAGCCAGAGACAAUAGUCUUUCUCUGAGAAAUGUUGACUCUUUCUCUGCCAAGGCAGAAAAAUAUCAUCUCCAGAGGGGCAAUACAGCUCCAUUACCAGGAAGAAGUUCCCCCGGGGAAUUGAUGAGCGGGCAAAGGCCUGCCUUCUCUUUCCCUGCCUUCCUCUUUCAGAGAAGAAACAGAUGUAGAGUAACUUUCUCUAAUUUUCCAUCAUGGGAGGAGAAGGCACUUAAAGAUUGCUUUUCAUAGAGGCAGUAAGAAUUGGGUCUGGGGUUCUGUCAUUUCAAGCUGCUACAGGACUUGUACAGUUGAAUAUUCCUAUAUAUAAUAAACUAGUUAAUAACC